rnacentral:rRNA from 1 species
AUUGCCCUUACGGCUCAGUAACACGUAGUCAACAUGCCCAGGGGACGUGGAUAACCUCGGGAAACUGAGGAUAAACCGCGAUAGGCCAAGAUUUCUGGAAUGGAUCAUGGCUGAAAUCUAUAUGGCCCUUGGAUUGGACUGCGGCCGAUCAGGCUGUUGGUGAGGUAAUGGCCCACCAAACCUAUAACCGGUACGGGCUUUGAGAGAAGGAGCCCGGAGAUGGGCACUGAGACAAGGGCCCAGGCCCUAUGGGGCGCAGCAGGCGCGAAAACUCUGCAAUAGGCGAAAGCUUGACAGGGUUACUCUGAGUGAUGUCCGCUAAGGGCAUCUUUUGGUACCUCUAAAAAUGGUGCAGAAUAAGGGGUGGGCAAGUCUGGUGUCAGCCGCCGCGGUAAUACCAGCACCCCGAGUGGUCGGGACGAUUAUUGGGCCUAAAGCAUCCGUAGCUUGUCCUGCAAGUCUUCCGUUAAAUCCACCUGCUCAACAGAUGGGCUGCGGGAGAUACUACAGGGCUAGGAGGCGGGAGAGGCAAGCGGUACUCAGUGGGUAGGGGUAAAAUCCUCUGAUCCACUGAAGACCACCAGUGGCGAAGGCGGCUUGCCAGAACGCGCUCGACGGUGAGGGAUGAAAGCUGGGGGAGCAAACCGGAUUAGAUACCCGGGUAGUCCCAGCUGUAAACGAUGCAGACUCGGUGAUGGGUUGGCUUCGGGCCAACCCAGUGCCGCAGGGAAGCCGUUAAGUCUGCCGCCUGGGGAGUACGGUCGCAAGACUGAAACUUAAAGGAAUUGGCGGGGGAGCAC